UAGAUGUUACUCAAUUCUGUUAUUUUGUUCACAUGGUUUGGGGGGAAAAAUCAAUUGACUAAUCUCUUUACCUAAAGGGCAGAGACAAAUGCUCUCACUUCCAGAGAAAUGACUGUUUUGGAGAAAAAUGUGUUGGUAUUUUAGCUGUUUUGUAAUUAAGUCUGGUUGUACCUCAAAAGAAUCUUAAGACUGUGGUGAUAAGAUGUUUUCCUUGGGAGAAUGAAGGAAAAAAACAACUGGAACUCAGAGCUUUAAAUUCUGUGACAAAGCAUGAAAUGUCCAAGAUUGGAGGUUGAAGAGGUUUCACUACAGUGUUCUACAAUAGUCGGAGCAGUUAUCUUUCAAUGUAGCCAAUGUGGACUCCAGAUUUCCAGAUUUUCGAGAACUGUACCUGGAACUCAAAAGAGCUUGUUACAAUGCAGAAGGAACUCUGGAAGUGGAUAUCCUUCUAUUUUCGAAUAUUGGGACUGUUGUGACCUUGCGGUGAGAAAAAAGGCAACAGCUGAGCAAGCACUGCCACCAGCACUGUUCCUGGGAAUUAAAAGACUUGAGUUUCUAUCCAGACCCUCAGUGCAAAUUGACUACACUCCAUCCAAAGUGAAUUAUGCCUACAGAUUCUGGUACCUGGAUUUUUACCCUUGGUGAUUUCUACCACCUUACUACUGAAGAAGACACCAUUCCAGUGGACCACUGUGACCUAAGAAGCAUUCAGCCAUCAUGAUGUGGCCUUUACCUCCACUCCUGUUCUUUCUACCCAGAUUCAGCACAGUCUUUUAUAAUGAAGUCAGAGUCCUCAAGCCAAAUAACUGAAACUGUUUUAUCACAACAAAGGCCCAGUUUGUUCCAUGAGUGUUCAUUUCAUUCUUCAGUCAAAGCUUUCAGAGACAGAAAUUCGGACUGGGAAAUUUUUAUCAGCAUCGUCUGAAGAAAGACAACUCGUCUUUGAGAACAGUAUUGGCCCCACAGUUUCAAAUGAUUGAGUUUCAUGAGCUCUCUAGGAUCCUGUCAAAGUCACUGGACCCUGUUCUUUUUCUAUUCACAUCUCUAGUAUCCUGAGUGAGAAAGCAGCUAUUCUGACCUAUUGGGAUCAAAACAAAGGCACAGUGAAUUCCUCAUAGCAUCUUCUUUGGGAUUACUCAGGAACCAGAACUUGUCACACAAAUGUAAGAAAUUCUGCCAAGGAAUUCUGUUACUUAAGAGCAUCUCACAAGGCUCCAGUCAGAUCCCAGAAAAGGCUUCUUGAUACCAUCAAGCAUUUUGUGAACAACUUAUUCUUAGAUCAUUGAUUUUCCAAAGGCUUUGUGACCAUGAAGCCCUUUGAAUGAAAACUAUGCAGAAGCUCAGAGUAAAAGUGAAGCUGCUCUGGAUGAAGCAGUGAAGCAAAUGUAGGGGCCUGAAGCCUGCCACAAGCAUCUUCCUUUACUACCAUGUUGACACCUAUGGGGACUUCCUUACAACACCUAGAAUUCUUCAGAACACAGUUUGAAAACCACUACCCUAGACAACAAUGUGACUUAAAUGGCGUUCUGAUCUUUUCUUCACUCAACACAGUCCAUGUUCAGUUGAUACUAACAUGUUCAGUUGAUAAUGAACAUUUCUUAGAAAUACUGUAUGCAAACUUUACAAAGUAAAAGAUGAUCAUAUUUUUGCCCCCCAGAAUAGUUAUAUGGGCUGAAAGUGGAAUUGAAUGCACCUAGAUUAAUUCCUUCACCCCAGUGAUUCCUGGAAUUGGAUAAGCCAGAAAGCAAGUCAUAUGCACUCCUUAUUGACAGACAUCCUUAACCCACCUCUUGCACAAACCCCAGAUGUUCUAGUGAUACAUGAAGUACAUGACUUUGAAGUCUCAACACUUCUUGGAUAUCUGAGUCGCCAGCAAACUGAUAUUGAAGCUGAUGCCUCAUUGAGGCUAUAUUGGAACAA